rnacentral:rRNA from 1 species
UGCUAUGAGCGGGGGAUAACACGAAGAAAUUCGUGCUAAUACCGCAUACGCAAAGUGAAUUUGGAAGUAGCUUUGGAAAGAAUGCCUCUCCUUGGAAGCAUUUACUAAUAGAUGGGCCUGCGUAGCAUUAGCUUGAUGGUGGGGUAACGGCCUACCAUGGCGACGAUGCUUAACUGGUCUGAGAGGAUGAUCAGUCACACUGGAACUGAGACACGGUCCAGACUCCUACGGGAGGCAGCAGUGGGGAAUAUUGCGCAAUGGGCGAAAGCCUGACGCAGCAAUGCCGCGUGAGUGAGGAAGGCCUUCGGGUUGUAAAGCUCUGUCAUAUGGAAAGAAUGGUCAUUGUUCUAACAGGGCAGUGAUUUGACGGUACCAUAAAAGGAAGCACCGGCUAACUUCGUGCCAGCAGCCGCGGUAAUACGAAGGGUGCAAGCGUUGUUCGGAUUUAUUGGGCGUAAAGCGCGCGCAGGCGGACUAUUAAGCCAGAUGUGAAAUCUCGGGGCUCAACCCCGAAACUGCGUCUGGAACUGGUAGUCUAGAAUCUUGGAGGGGGAAGCGGAAUUUCGCAUGUAGGGGUAAAAUCCGUAGAGAUGCGAAGGAACACCAGAGCCGAAGGGGGCUUCCUGGCCAAGUAUUGACGCUGAGGCGCGAAAGCGUGGGGAGCAAACAGGAUUAGAUACCCUGGUAGUCCACGCCGUAAACGAUGUGCACUAGAUAUUGGAGACUUUGACCUCUUCAGUGUCGUAGCUAACGCAUUAAGUGCACCGCCUGGGGAGUACGGUCGCAAGACUAAAACUCAAAGGAAUUGACCGGGGGCCCGCACAAGCGGUGGAUUAUGUGGUUUAAUUUGAAGCAACGCGCAGAACCUUACCUAGGCUUGAAAUCCUGAGAAGAUCGACCAAAAUUGAUUGUGCUCUUCGGAGAACUCAGUGACAGGCGCUCCAUGGCUGUCGUCAGCUCGUGUCGUGAGAUGUUGGGUUAAGUCUCGCAACGAGCGCAACCCCUAUCUUUAGUUGCCAGCAUUAAGUUGGGCACUCUAGAGAGACUGCCUGGGUUAUCCAGGAGGAAGGUGGGGAUGACGUCAAGUCCUCAUGGCCCUUAUGUCUAGGGCUACACACGUAAUACAAUGGUGCAUCAAAGGGAAGCGAUCUGGUGACAGUUAGCAAAUCUCAAAAAGUGCAUCUCAGUCCGGAUUGGAGUCUGCAACUCGACUCCAUGAAGUUGGAAUCGCUAGUAAUCGGAGAUC